rnacentral:sRNA from 1 species
GUCAUGACGGUGUCCUUCCACAAAUAUGGAAAUUACUUCUUCCCUGGCACAGGUGACAUGUAUGAAGUCGGGGCAGAGAGUGGCCGCUACUACUGUCUGAAUGUGCCCCUGCGGGAUGGCAUUGAUGACCAGAGUUACAAGCACCUUUUCCAGCCGGUUAUCAACCAGGUAGUGGACUUCUACCAACCCACGUGCAUUGUGCUCCAGGUAAUAUUGUCAGUUCCUCCUCAGGAGUGUUCUCCCUGGGCUUGGGGAAAGAGAGCAAGGGAAGAGGAGGUUCUUUAGGUUGGUGGUGGAAGGGGUAUCUGUGAUGUUCUGAUCAGUUAUCUCACUGCACCUUCCUGGGGUUUUGCUUUUUGCAGUGUGGAGCUGACUCUCUGGGCUGUGAUCGAUUGGGCUGCUUUAACCUCAGCAUCCGAGG